AUGCAGGAUGCAGAGCCCUGUGCUCGCCUACAGCACCCCUCUGGCUGGGACCCUGGACCCCCUGCUGUCCCCUGCCUGUCUCCCAAUGCCAGGCCUUUCCCGCUGAGCCGCCGCACAGCCCUCCCCAGGCCGGAGCGCAGGGCAGACAGAAAGAUGUCACAGCACCACACAGGAAGAGCAGCCCCUCCCCCAGCAAGGAGCCUUUCUUCUCCGCUCUCCUUCCCCUCGCCCAGCCCUCUCUGUUUCAUCGCUGUUCUAAGGAGCGGGAGGAAUGUCAUACAUGGUGCAUCCGCUUCUCUGGAAUAUGGUGAAGCUGCAUUAAAAUAUGUGCUCUGUGGGCGUCUGGCCCCGGACAGAGAUUUACGAGGGUUUAUCUUACACAUCUGCAGCACGAGGCUGACAAGAUACACAUUGCGUUUGUUUUCGGGAGCAGCCCUGAACUGCUCAUGGAAACCCAGACGGGCCAGGGCCCCGCGGCUGCUGCCCGCCCACCCUGGUCCCCUCUGAGAUGCUGGCAGCCGGCAGCACUGAGUUCCCUUCAAAGUUCAUGGGUUCGAGUCACAGAGUCUGGGAAAGGGCCCUCUGGGUCAGCUGUUUGCAGCGGGUGGGGUGCAGCCUGACCUGCAGAGAAGGGGGGCGCCAGAACGAAGGAUGCCUGGAGAGACGGGAAGGCGGGGGAGACAGUGGGGGAGCAGCCAGCGGCUCUGGGAGGGAGUGUUCUGUGAGUACAGAUUGUACGUUCAGCCAUCAUCUCCACCCACGAGGUGAGAGUUGUCAGUCCCCCAUUUCACAGGCAGAGGAAUGGAAGGUCAGAGAGGGAAGGGGCCUGUCUAAGGGCCCACAGCUGGGGGCCCCGUGAGACUGCGGAUGGGUGCUUGACAACUGGCCCUUCCCCGGGUCCCUCCCUCAGCAACUCCCGUUUCCAUUUAGGGAUCUGAGUGUUGGAGAAUGCUGACUCCCCUCUGCGUCUGGGAAGAGCCUGUGAUCCAGGCUAGGCAGGGGAAGCCAUGCUUCCUGCUGGCCUCAGUGGCUGUGGCAGCGGGCAGGAGGCAGGGCUGCAAGGAUCCCAGUGCCUGGCCAAGGGGCUUGGGCCAGGUCCUAAGGGGGGCAAAGACAUCUCUCAGGAGGAUCCAGAGCAGAGCUUGGAGAGGAUCCGGGGGAGGAGGUAGGGGAGGGGUCAGACCUGGGCAUGUGUGACAAAGGCAGACAUUCAAAUAUCAAUAAAUCCAGCUACUCACAUGGCAUCACAAACCAUGGUGUGACUGAUUAAAAAUAAAUAACAACCCUGCAUAUAAAGGCCUUAGAGAACACAUAGUCUAGAUGCUCACCCAUUUUACAGUUGGAGAAACUGAGAGACUAUUUUAUUCAGUACUCUGUGUUCAGAUUGUCUUAGAGUAAGUAGUUCAAGAAUAGUGGGGCGGUGGGUAGGUCUUAACAAUUACCUACACACCACCCUGUACCCUCUCUCCAUCCUGUUUUACUCAACAAUCCCCUCAGCUUCCCACCUCCUCCACCCUCUGUGGAGGGCUGACACUCAUCCCAGUCCCUGGCCAUAGUAAUUGAUUUGGAGAAAGAGUGACCCAAACACAUAAUCACAGUCAAUCUCCAGAGUCUUGUUUAGAAUGCUGGGACAGAAUGCUCUUGCUGACUUUCUAGAUUUGUGGGAGGAUGCAUGAAGAGUUCUCUUUUGACAGAUGUUAGAAAUUAUCCGGCCACCAGGAGAGAAAUCAGCCUAAGAAUGAAGCUCAUAGAGACACAAAGGAAGGUGGAGCUGAGAGAACAGCUGGGAAGUGGAGCUCGAGCCCUGAUCAAGCCUCACCUGAAGCUCAUAUACCCCAUUUCCCAGUGAUAUGAGUCAAUAAAUCUCUUCUCUUAUCUGCAUUAGCUUGAGUUGAGGUUUUUCACUUGUAUACUAUCUUGAAUGAUGCAUGUAGUACAGGAAGGUCAGGCCACAGACCACAGAUUUAAGUUUGAGACCUAGCUCCAGGUGUGGGAUCUUGAAUGGGUCACUUCCCUCUCUGAGCUUCACCUGUUUCCUCACUUGUAAGAUGAUGAUGGCAAACCCUGAUGGACUGGGCUGUUGAUGGAGACUAGCUUGUUGGGCUCUUCUAAUACAGAUGACACCAAAUAAGUCUCCAGAAUUGCACGCUCUGAGACCUUGCCCUUGGCUUGCUCCUGGGCUUAUAAGAGGAGCCUCCUGAAAUCCCUUCCCAUCAUCCAUGGUGCAGCAGCUUCUUGGAGCUGGGGAGGGGAGGCACUCUGAUUUUGGCCCCAAGGGACCACUCAGGAGCCUUGGUAGGGCACUCCAGCUGGCUUUUAGGAAGCCAGGUGGCCAAAAAUUAGUUACUUUGCUAGGUUUUUAAUGGGAAAUUGAUUCCAGGCCCAGGGAGAAGGACUACUUGCCCCAUCCUCCUGGAACCUCAGGAGCCUCCACAUGGGCCCUCACGACCCCAAGGCCUGCUUCCCGAGGAAGGCCAGGCCAACCCAAGGUGACUGAAUGCAGGGUGGGUCUUUGUUUUCAUCAUGACAGCAACACAGGUGAUAAAAACUUACACCCUGUACUUAAUAUUGGAAAGUAGAGCUCCCUCUGUGUCCAGCACCAGCGCUCUCCUCCGAGCAUCCUGAGAAGACGGUGUGGGCAACACGUGCUCAGGCGCUCAGUCGUGUCCGACUCUUUGCGACCCCAUGGACUGCAGCCUGCCAGGCUCCUCUGUCUGUGAGAUUCUCCAGGCAAGAACACGAGUGGGUUGCCAUUCCCUUCUCCAGGGGAUCUUCCCAACCCAGGGAUCAAACCUGGGUCUCCCGCAUUGGAGGCAGAUUCUUUACCAUCUGAGCCACCAAGGAAGCCCCAUGCAUGCUCAUGUAUGUCCUUUUUCUCAUACAUGUAGAAUCAGACUAUACCUGACCUCCCACAACUUGAGUUUCCAAAGAGCUUUAUUAAAGUAGAGUUCACAUACCAUAGAAUUCACCCAUUUAAUGUACAGCUCAAUGGCUUUGAGUAAACUCACAAUUUGUGUAACCAUUACCAUAACCAAUUUUAGAAUAUUUUGUGUACUCCAAAAGAGCCACACACUCCUUAGCCAUCACCCUCCAAUCCCUUUCUAUUCUCACCCCUAGGCAAACACUAAUCUACUUUCUGUCUCUGCAGGCUUGCCUAGUCUGGACACUUCAUGUAAAUGGAGUCAUAGAGUACAUGAUCUUUCAGGACUGGUUUCUUUCACUUAGCAUAACGUCUUAAAGGUUCAUCGACAUUGUAACAUGUAUUGGUACUUCUUCUUAUGGCUGACUAAUAUUCCGCUGUAUGGAGAGACCACAUUUUAUGUGUCCACUCCUCCCUUGGUGGCCACUGGGUUCUUUCUAUGUUUUGGCUUUUACGAAUAAAACUGCUAUAUCAUUCAUGUAGAAGUUUUUGUCUGGAUAUAUCCUUGCAUUUCUCCUGGACAUCUACCUAGGGUUGAAAGUGCUGGGUCACGUGGUGUGUCUUGGUUUCACCAUUUGAGGCAGUGCCAGAUGGUUUUCCACCCCAGCUGUAUCACUGUACACGCCCACCAUCAAGAUAUGGGGGCUCCAACGUCUUCACUUCCUCACCGGCACUGGUCCUUGUCUGUCUCUUUGAUUCCAGCCAUCCUCGUGGGUGUGGAGUGGGUCUGGUUAGCAAUCUGGAUUCUUUUUUAGCUUGGAGUUGGCAUAGACCCAUGUCAACAUUUUCAAUGCUCAUACAGCAUUCCUCUACACGAUGCAGCCUAUUUAAUCACUCUCCUAUUGAUGAACCCUGGGAUUAGUUCCUGCAGUGAACACCUCCAGGGCAGAGAGGUCCUGGGCAUAUUCUUCCCUUGUAGGUGUUUAGAGGAGGGUGUUUAGAAGAGACCUUCUAGACCCUGGCUGGUACUGCCUACAAGGAGAGUACCCGCUGCCCAGUUCUAGCCUAGGCUCUGCACCUGAAAUGCUGUGCAACCUUCGGGCAGUCACAGAACUUCUCUGGGCCUUCUUUGCCUCAUCUGUAAAAAGCAAGCCUUAAACUAAGUUCCCUAGCACCUUGCUCUCCUAUCCAAUCCCCUCCUUACUCUGAUAAUCACCUUUAUCCUCUUGGCGGGUGCAUUGAAAGCAUUUUUCCUUGCCAUCUCUACCACAGACCUUCUGCUGUGAUUUCAUGGCCUCAUUUGCCUUUCCUAGAACUCUUAAAACAGAGACUCAGCUGGGUUUGUGGUCUCACUAGAGGUUCAGAGAGCCUUAGUGACCAGUCCAUGGCCUCUCUCAGGUGUGUGUGGACUCUUGUGCCCAUUGUACAGAGAGGAAAGCAGAGACCUAGAGAAGUGCAGUGACCACCCCAUGGCCACAGAGAGGGCCAGAGACGGUAGCAGGGAUUUGAAUCUGGGCU
ensembl:lncRNA